UGGCUCGUCCCCCAGUCACUCCACCCGCCUUCCGUGCUCCCUGUUAGGCAGGACGUCGACACGCAUUGCCGUUCCUAUGGAGACGUUUGGGGCGGGGCGUUGCGCCUCGCUCACUCUGAUUGGCUGCGAAGCCUCGGCCGGGACUCCUCGGAUUUGUCGGCCCGGCGGGCGAGGCUCCGCCCCCCAGGUGAGGUCCGGCGCGAUCACGUGAAGGCGGCGGGUGCCAGAAGACAGAAGCAGUAGGUGCGGAGCGUGGAGCCAUGAAGCACUAUGAGCGCUGCGUGGUAUUUGGCGGCCCCUGGACCAGCUGAAAUGGGACCCGCCAGCGGAAGCUGUUAGGGCAAGUAAGUGAGUCCUACCUGAAGGCAGUUGCACUGCGCUGGACAUGCAGCUCCCUGGUCCCCAGGGGCCCUGAGGCUGGUUACAUCCCAUGGUGGCAGUGCUAGGGUAGCAGGUCUGCC